UAUAUAAAAAUCAUAACGGAUAUAAUAUUAUAUUUACCAGUUUACCACAGUACUAUAAUAUAUUGUUGACUGUUUUCGAAUCCUAUCAAACAACUUUUACCGCGUUCUUCUAUAUAAUAAUAUUAUGCUCCACAAGAAGCAAUAGUUAAUAAUACAAACACAUUGCGUCAGCUACUUUAAUGUGUAUAAUAAUGCUCCUAGGCUAUACCUACAUAGUUUUUUUAUAACGACCGAACGACUGCAGUAUUGUAAAAUUAUUAUAACCAUCAUGCACUAGGUUUUAGAAAAAUAUUAUUACACCAGUAGCCUAUCUAACUAUAUAGCGCAUUGUUUCAUUAAAUAUUUUUCGUACAAAUUAUAAUUUUUAAAAAUCAUGGGUUAUAAAAAGUGCCAACCUUAUAGCCGUUACAGGAACUUUAAACCGUUUAAGGUGUAGAUACAAAGAUACUUUAUUAAUACCUACUGAAAUUUCUGGGUACCGACCGUGUUGUUCGUCCUUACCUCACGAUAGUGGGGUAAUUAAGGAAGGGCACAGUUGGCCCACUCCCGAAAUAGGCGCGAUGCAUUUUUCGUCCGGGCGAUUUCCGCUCAACACUGUUCGUGCUAUUUCCGCCCGUUAUCGUAAUAUUUACUUGCUGAAAUUGUGCAAGGUGGACUAUUCGCUCAAAAUUUAAAAUUAUAUAAGUUGUAUGAAAUUGUCAA